AGCAUAGGACGUUUACGCGUACUGGUGGAUGGCUUGGCUCGACAACUGAUGAAGGGCGUGGCAAGCUGCGAUAUGCCCAGGGGAGCCGCAUGCGGGCUUCGAACCUGGGAUUCCCGAAUCAGACCUCUGUGUGCAUGUAGCACAGAUCCCAUAUGGGAUGAGGGACGCGGGGAAUUGAAACAUCUUAGUACCCGCAGGAGAAGAAAACAAUCGUGAUUCCCUGAGUAAAGGCGAUCGAAAAGGGAAGAGCACAAACCGAACCUGUUAUAGAAAUAUAAUAGGGAUGUGGGGUUUGGACUGGGGUUCACCUUCGCUUUCUGAGCAGAAGUGUUUUGGAAAAGACUGCCAAAGAGAGUGAAAGCCUCGUAUGCGAAGGAAAGACAGGUGCUACCCAGGAUCCAGAGUACGGCAGGUUGGAAAUUCUGCCGGAAUGCGGGAGGCAAGAACUCCCAAUGCUAAAUAUCUGUUGAGUCCGAUAGUGAACGAGUACCGCGAGGGAAAGCUGAAAAGUAGCCUUAUCAGGCAAUGAAAAAAUCCUCAAACCAGUGCGUCAUAGGUGGUACGGGUCUGUGUAAGUUGCUAUGAAGUUUUACGAAUAGCAAUGUUCCGGAUCCGUACGUCCGUUUUGAAACACGCGGCAGGGAGUUGGUGUCCGUGGCGAGGUUAAGAACAGAAGCCGAAGCGAAAGCGAAGCCUGCGCAGCUUGCGAGGCAGGUCCGUACUCACGUGCGGCAAGUCACGGGUGCCAUACCCGAAACCGGUCGAUCUAGCCCUUGGGAGAGUGAAAUCCUUCGAAAGGGGGAUGGAGGCUCGCUACCGAUAUUGAGAUUCAAAUCAUUCGGGUCACCUGGGGCUAGGGGUAAAAAGCCAAUCGAGUCCGGUAAUAGCUGGUUCCUCUCGAAAUGUGCGUUAGCUCAGCCUCGCUGGAGACUGGAUACGGGGUAGAGAUACUGAUCAGGCAACCAAGGAUCGAAAGAUCCAGUUACUUUGUCAAACUCCGAAUCUGUGUCCGUCGAAGAAAGCGGGAGUGCGGGAACGGGGUAAGCUCGUUUUCCGAAGGGUAAAAAAACCUGCGUUGGGUUAAGGUCCCUAAGUACCAGUUCAGUGAGAAAAGGUGUCGGCAACCUCAGACAGUGGGAAGGUUGGCUUAGAAGCAGCCACCCUUUAAAAAGUGCGUAACAGCUUACCCACCGAGGUUGUCGGUCCUGAUAAUGGACGGGACUAAACUGGUCACCGAUACCCAACUCGCCGAAAGGCAUGAGGUAGAGAGGUGCGCCGCUGGAGUCGAACGCUGUCCGUAAGGGCAACGGGAUCCAGUGGCGAUAAGAAUCCUGCUGAUAGUAACAGCGAAGCGUCGUGAGAAUCGACGCCGCCUAAAGGGCUAGGGUUCCUCAGCAACGAUCAUCGACUGAGGGUUAGUCGGUCCUAACUGUGUUCCUAACAGGAAACACGGGAAAGGGAAACAGGUUAAUAUUCCUGUACCGAGAACAUACACGCGGCAACGCAAGGCAUGACUCAGACGGUUCUGGAUAGCGCAACCAUCGUGAGGUGGCGAAGCAUCGAAGCCCGGUGAGCACCGUAAUGGUGAGACCCGGGGGAAGGUGUGAGUGGUUUCGUGAGGAAUUUGCGCAAUUCCCGGAUCCCCUGAAAAUGGGUCGUGCAUGGAUUGUUCUUGUCCGUACCAAGAUCCGUCUCUGGUGCCCCUUGCUGAGAAGGCAAAGGCGCGUAAGGAAACGUCAGCCUAGGGAAUUCGGCAAAUUAGUCCUGUAUCUUUGGUAUAAAGGAUGCCUGCCCCCCUCAUUCAAUUGAGGCUGGGCAGGUCGCAGUGACUCGAGGGAUACGACUGUUUAACAAAAACGUAGGUGGCUGCAAACCCGAAAGGGCUCGUAUAGCCGCUGAGUCCUGGCCAGUGCCAGUGUGUUAAGCCUGGUUUCAACUGGGUGAAGCCCUGGUAAACGCCGGCGGUAAUUUGCGUGGGUUCUUCAUCGGGGCAGACAUUUAUCUUGUGGCAUAACCGGCACACUCCUCCCGCAAGAUUAAAUCACUCUGCUCAUCAAAGGUGAUUAUGAACCUCACCGAAGAUCUUGCUUAUUUGUCAGGAGCAGUUCAUGACGGGUGUCUCGUCAAACGAACAACGCGAACGGGAUAUGACAUUCAGUUUUACCAGAAGAAUAGAGAAUGGCUUGAGAAGUCCAUUCUUCCGCGAUUGGAAUCACUCGAUAUUACAACACCAAUUCGUGGGCCCUGGAAAACCUGUUUCUAUCUCAAGUUCGGCAACAAAAAACUGUAUAAGACGCUCGAGCAAACCAUGAACACGCUUCCCACGGAACCGCGAUUGCAGAUAGCAUUCAUUCGCGGCUUCUGGGAUACGGAAGGAUCCUGCCCGCAUGUCGAGAAAUAUCUUCUCGGCCAGCGCAAGCGGAGGAUCCCUCCCCAGAUCGGGUUCCAUCAAAAUGGAUCUGAUCAGCUUCUGACAGAAGUGAGAAACGCUCUGGAACGUUUUGGUAUCGAAUGUAGUGCCAUGAGCGGGCCGCUUUCACGGCCCGUGAACAAGAAACCCGAAUACCGGUUCUUCAUUUAUUCGGUGAACCGGAUCCGGAAGUUUUCUGAACUCAUUCAACCAGAGCAUCCGGACAAGAAGAAACGAAUUGCAUUGCUUUUGAAAUCAAUCAAGCCCUGCAAACCGCAUACUCUGACCGUCUUAAGGUGAACAGUUGUUGCCUUAGUAAAAUCUGGCUAUAUGCUGGAAUAUCCGAGAAUCCCACACUACUCGAAAUCAACCCCGAGUAUUUCCGAUCUGAUUUCAGUGACAAUGUGAUGGGUGCGGACAAUCAGCAGGAAAGAUUAGAUGCCGAAUGGAUUUCAGGUUUCGUUGAUGGCGAAGGGUGCUUCCAUGUCGGAAUCAACCGGAUCCCCGCGACAUUGGGAUGGCAAGUCCUCCCGGAGUUUCGCGUGGUGCAGCAUGAGCGUGAUGUCCAAAUUCUGCACCGGAUCCGAUCGUAUUUCGGUUUUGGAGGCAUCAAGACAAAUCAUGGCGACCGAAAAGAGUUCCGAGUCCGGGGACUGGAAAACUGCAACAAGCUCGUUGCGUUCUUCAAUUCCCAUCCGCUCCAAACCAAGAAGCGGCAUGACUUUGAACUGUUCUCAGAAAUCAUUGAUUUGAUGAACAAGCGCCAACAUCUGACGAGAUCUGGGAUCACAACAAUUGCAGAACUGGCAGCACAAAUGAACACGAAAACACUGCCUCGGUAUCUAAAAUCCUCAGAGACUACACGCCAGACACCCGACUGCGGGUGAUGAUAUAGUCCGACCCGCACAGCGAUGUGCGGAGGCUGUCAGAAAUGGCAGUCCGCCACGAGCGAUCGUGGUCCUCCAAAGUAACAGAUGUGAGCGUAAUCUCUUGUCGUUUAAUUAACGACCUGCAUGAACGGAUGAACGAGAUCCCUACUGUCCCAGGCUGGCACCUUGUGAACUUAAGAGUCCGGUGCAUAAUCCGAAGACCCGCAAUGGGACGAGAAGACCCCGUUGAACUUUACUGCAGUCUGUUGUUGUGGUACUGAAAUGGCCGAAUAGCGUAGGUGGGAGCGAUGCAGCAGCUUCGUCAGGAGCUGUGAAGGCGCCAAUGUAACACCACCCGGCUGUUUCUGUGCUGCUUAUCCUUCGGGAAACAGCUUCAGAUGGGCAGUUUGGCUGGGGCGGUACACCUCCGGCAGGACAUCGGAGGUGCCCCAAAGUCACCUCAUCCCGGUCAGAAAUCGGGAGGCGAGUGCAAGGGCAAAAGGUGGCCUGAUCGUGUUUCGAACAACGAGAAACGCGAACGCGAAAGCGCGGCCUAGCGAUCCUCGGUGCGUCAUUCAUUGGGCGCCCGAUCUGGCAGAAAAGCUACCACGGGGAUAAUGGAGUCGUGGUGGGUGAAAGUUCGUAUUGACCUCAUACGUUGCUUCUCCGCCGUCGGCUCGGCUCUUCCUGGCUGUGCAGCAGCAGCCAAGGGUACAGGUGUUCACUGUUUAAAGAGCCACGUUAGCUGGGUUAAGUACGGUGCGAGCCAGUACCGUCUAUAUCUAUUGUGGGUGUCGGGAGUCUGAUGGGAAGAUGCCUCCAGUACGAAAGGAACAGGGCGUCGUGGCCUCUGGUGUAUCGGUUGUAAUGCACUGCCGAGUAGCUACGCCAUACGAAAUAAGCGCUGAACGCAUCUAAGCGCGAAGUCCCCCCAGAAACGAGACUCCCAUGGCCCAGACUGGCUGGCAACAGUCGGCGCGGGCCGGAAGGUCCGGUAGACGACCGGGUUGACGGAAUCGGGGUGUACGUGCCAAGGCAACGAGGCAUUCAGCUCACGAUCACCGAAAACCUGACAGUCCUUUGGU
rnacentral:rRNA from 1 species